AAUAAAUAAAAAGACUGGGAUGAGGAAAGGCAGGUAGUAGCUUAGGAAAAGCAGCAAGAUGGAAAAAAUGAAAUUCUAAGAAAUGAGGAGCAGUUCAGUUGGCUUGUGCAACUGUGUAAUUAUUUUCGGUGACAGAACCCCAAGCUCCACCUAGAAGAUAAAGGCUCUCAUGUAACUUGACAUGCUAAAUAAACACUCAGUUCCCACCAUGUCCUUCUUUCCCCUCAGCUUUGGCCCCUGUUAUUUGGUCCAUGAUUACUAGUCUUUUUUUCUCUCUUUUCCUCUCAGUCUUAGGGUAAUAAGACGAAAACAACAAAAUUGCUGUUAAGCUGAAAGAAGGGUAAAGAGGUGUUUAGGUGAAGAAAGAAUGUUUGAGGAGCCUGCUGACCCCAGUCCAUACUGUCAUCUCCUAAGGUCGCAGUGCUGUUCCUUUAAGUUUCUGUGAUUCACGUGGGCAAUAUCCUCUUUUAUAAAAUGCUCUGCUUCUGGUCCCUUGCGAGCUGUUACCAGUCCGAAAUAGGACCCAGACCUCCUGACGUCAGGUUGAAUGUUCUUUCCACUUCACAACCAUGCCUAAAAAUACAAGCAAAGAGAAAACGCUCCAAAGCAAAUAAAACCUUAUCCAUUUUCACAUGGAUUCCUCCUUUUGGGAC
rnacentral:lncRNA from 1 species